GGAGAUACAGCUCAAGUGGUAGAGCGUGUGCUUAGCAUACGCAAGGUCCUGGGUUCAAUCCCCAGUACCUCCU
rfam:Camelus ferus unplaced genomic scaffold scaffold125148, whole genome shotgun sequence.